rnacentral:rRNA from 1 species
GACGAACGCUGGCGGCGUGCUUAACACAUGCAAGUCGAACGAAGAGCGAUGGACGCUUGCUUCUAUCAAUCUUAGUGGCGAACGGGUGAGUAACGCGUAAUCAACCUGCCCUUCAGAGGGGGACAACAGUUGGAAACGACUGCUAAUACCGCAUACGAUCUAAUCUCGGCAUCGAGGAUAGAUGAAAGGUGGCCUCUACAUGUAAGCUAUCACUGAAGGAGGGGAUUGCGUCUGAUUAGCUAGUUGGAGGGGUAACGGCCCACCAAGGCGAUGAUCAGUAGCCGGUCUGAGAGGAUGAACGGCCACAUUGGGACUGAGACACGGCCCAGACUCCUACGGGAGGCAGCAGCGGGGAAUCUUCCGCAAUGGACGAAAGUCUGACGGAGCAACGCCGCGUGAGUGAUGACGGCCUUCGGGUUGUAAAGCUCUGUUAAUCGGGACGAAAGGCCUUCUUGCGAAUAGUGAGAAGGAUUGACGGUACCGGAAUAGAAAGCCACGGCUAACUACGUG